rnacentral:rRNA from 1 species
AACGAACGCUGGCGGCAGGCCUAACACAUGCAAGUCGAGCGAGGACUUCGGUCCUAGCGGCGGACGGGUGAGUAACGCGUGGGAACGUGCCCUUUGCUACGGAAUAGCCCUGGGAAACUGGGAGUAAUACCGUAUGUGCCCUUCGGGGGAAAGAUUUAUCGGCAAAGGAUCGGCCCGCGUUGGAUUAGGUAGUUGGUGGGGUAAUGGCCUACCAAGCCGACGAUCCAUAGCUGGUUUGAGAGGAUGAUCAGCCACACUGGGACUGAGACACGGCCCAGACUCCUACGGGAGGCAGCAGUGGGGAAUCUUAGACAAUGGGCGCAAGCCUGAUCUAGCCAUGCCGCGUGAGCGAUGAAGGCCUUAGGGUUGUAAAGCUCUUUCAGUGGGGAAGAUAAUGACUGUACCCACAGAAGAAGCCCCGGCUAACUCCGUGCCAGCAGCCGCAGUAA